UACGAAGGGGGCUAGCGUUGCUCGGAAUCACUGGGCGUAAAGCGCACGUAGGCGGAUCUUUAAGUCAGGGGUGAAAUCCCAAGGCUCAACCUUGGAACUGCCUUUGAUACUGGGGAUCUCGAGUCCGGAAGAGGUGAGUGGAACUGCGAGUGUAGAGGUGAAAUUCGUAGAUAUUCGCAAGAACACCAGUGGCGAAGGCGACUUACUGGACACAUAUUGACGCUGAGGUGCGAAAGCGUGGGGAGCAAACAGG
rnacentral:rRNA from 1 species